rnacentral:rRNA from 1 species
CAAGUCGAGCGAGAAAGUGUAGCAAUACAUGAGUAAAGCGGCGCACGGGUGAGUAACACGUGGAUAACCUGCCUCGAAGUGGGGAAUAACACCGGGAAACCGGUGCUAAUACCGCAUAAGCCAACAAGAUCUGCGGAUUUUGUCGGAAAAGGAGCAAUUCGCUUUGAGAGGGGUCCGCGGCUAAUUAGCUAGUUGGUGGGGUAAUGGCUCACCAAGGCAACGAUCAGUAGCCGGUCUGAGAGGACGGUCGGCCACACUGGAACUGAGACACGGUCCAGACUCCUACGGGAGGCAGCAGUGGGGAAUUUUUCGCAAUGGGGGCAACCCUGACGAAGCAAUGCCGCGUGGGUGAUGAAGCAUCUCGGUGCGUAAAACCCUUUCGACGGGGACGAAAGCCGCAAGGUUUGACGGUACCCGUAGAAGAAGCCCCGGCUAACUCCGUGCCAGCAGCCGCGGUAAUACGGGGGGGGCAAGCGUUGUUCGGAAUUACUGGGCGUAAAGGGUGCGUAGGCGGCUUUCUAAGUUGGAUGUGAAAACUCUGGGCUUAACCCAGAGCCUGCAUCCAAAACUGGAAGGCUAGGGUUCUGGAGGGGAAAGCGGAAUUCCUGGUGUAGCGGUGAAAUGCGUAGAUAUCAGGAGGAACACCGGUGGCGAAGGCGGCUUUCUGGACAGAUACCGACGCUGAGGCACGAAAGCUAGGGGAGCAAACAGGAUUAGAUACCCUGGUAGUCCUAGCCCUAAACUAUGGAUACUUGCUGUGAGGGGGAUUGAAUCCCUUUGUGGCGAAGCUAACGCAUUAAGUAUCCCGCCUGGGGA